rnacentral:rRNA from 1 species
CGUUUGGAAACGAACGCUAAUACCGCAUAACAAUGAGAAUCGCAUGAUUCUGAUUUAAAAGAAGCAACUGCUUCACUACUUGAUGAUCCCGCGUUGUNUUANCUAGUUGGUAGUGUAAAGGACUACCAAGGCGAUGAUACAUAGCCGGCCUGAGAGGGUGAACGGCCACACUGGGACUGAGACACGGCCCAGACUCCUNCGGGAGGCAGCAGUAGGGAAUCUUCGGCAAUGGGGGCAACCCUGACCGAGCAACGCCGCGUGAGUGAAGAAGGUUUUCGGAUCGUAAAACUCUGUUGUUAGAGAAGAACGUUAAGUANAGUGGAAAGUUACUUAAGUGACGGUAUCUAACCAGAAAGGGACGGCUAACUACGUGCCAGCAGCCGCGGUAAUACGUAGGUCCCGAGCGUUGUCCGGAUUUAUUGGGCGUAAAGCGAGCGCAGGUGGUUCCUUAAGUCUGAUGUAAAAGGCAGUGGCUCAACCAUUGUGUGCACUGGAAACUGGGGAACUUGAGUGCAGGAGAGGGGAGUGGAAUUCCAUGUGUA